rnacentral:lncRNA from 1 species
CCUGACUGCAAUAAGUUCAUAAACAUAGUUUUGCUUUAUCAACAGGUUAUUCUGGGUGUCUUUGGGAAGAAGCUGCAGUCGGCAGUAUGGUUGCUGGAAGGCAGAGUGCUUUGUCUACUUUUGCCUCUCUGUUGUGUGCUGGUCACAGGAAGUCUCCUGGGAACUUACCUGAACCACACCGGAAAAUUCAGGGAAUGCUGACCAUGCCUGCCUUGCUACUGCUUUCUUGUCUUCUUCUUUUUCUUUAACUUGUAUUGUAGCAACAUAUAUACAAUACAAAAUUGCCCUUUUUAACUACUUUCAAGUGUACAAUUCAGUAGUAUUAAUUACAUUCACAAUAUUGUGCUACCAUCACAAUAUUCAUUGCCUCAUCAUGCCCGAGUUCCCAAUGAGCCACUGAAAUUGACUGCUCAUACUUCCCCAA